rnacentral:rRNA from 1 species
GAUGAACGCUGGCGGCGUGCCUAAUACAUGCAAGUCGAGCGAACAGACGAGGAGCUUGCUCCUCUGACGUUAGCGGCGGACGGGUGAGUAACACGUGGAUAACCUACCUAUAAGACUGGGAUAACUUCGGGAAACCGGAGCUAAUACCGGAUAAUAUAUUGAACCGCAUGGUUCAAUAGUGAAAGACGGUUUUGCUGUCACUUAUAGAUGGAUCCGCGCCGCAUUAGCUAGUUGGUAAGGUAACGGCUUACCAAGGCAACGAUGCGUAGCCGACCUGAGAGGGUGAUCGGCCACAUUGGAACUGAGACACGGUCCAGACUCCUACGGGAGGCAGCAGUAGGGAAUCUUCCGCAAUGGGCGAAAGCCUGACGGAGCAACGCCGCGUGAGUGAUGAAGGUCUUCGGAUCGUAAAACUCUGUUAUUAGGGAAGAACAAAUGUGUAAGUAACUAUGCACGUCUUGACGGUACCUAAUCAGAAAGCCACGGCUAGCUACGUG